rnacentral:tRNA from 1 species
AGCUCUGGGGUGUCACACGCCAGGUUGCAACCCUGGAGAUGUAGGCAAACGCCUACCGGAGCUU